UUGAGUUUGUUUUGCUGCCCACGAUGGAUGAAGAUCGCUAUUUUUUGCUUUGAACUUGUCUGGAGCUUGAGUUGAAGAGCUUCCACCAUCGCCUUCAGCAUCAAACAGAACUUUCUUUCCAGUGAAAGGUUUAAUUCCUUUUUGAGCUUGUUUGGCUGCCCAAGAUGGAUGAAGAUCACCAUUUUUAGCUUUGAACUUGUUUGCAGCUUGAGUUGAAGAGCUUCCACCAUCGCCUUCAGCAUCAAACAGAACUUUCUUUCCAGCGAAAGGUUUAAUUCCAUUUUGAGCUUGUUUUGCUGCCCACGAUGGAUGAAGAUCACCAUUUUUAGCUUUGAACUUGUCUGGAGCUUGCUGGUUAUAAGUUGAAGAGCUUCCACCAUCGCCUUCAGCAUCAAACAGAACUUUCUUGCCAGCAAAAGGUUUAAUUCCUUUUUGAGCUUGUUUUGCUGCCCACGAUGGAUGAAGAUCGCCAUUUUUUGUAUUGAACUUGUCCGGAGCUUGCUGGGUAUAAGUUGAAGAGCUUCCACCAUCGCCUUCAGCGUCAAACAGAACUUUCUUGCCAGCAAAAGGUUUAAUUCCUUUUUGAGCUUGUUUUGCUGCCCACGAUGGAUGAAGAUCUCCAUUUUGAGUUUUAAACUUUCCUGUAGCUUGCUGGUUAUAAGUUGUAGAGCUUCCACCAUCGCCU